rnacentral:rRNA from 1 species
CAGCAUAUCAAUAAGCGGAGGAAAAGAAACCAACAGGGAUUGCCCUAGUAACGGCGAGUGAAGCGGCAACAGCUCAAAUUUGAAAUCUGGCUCUUUCAGAGUCCGAGUUGUAAUUUGCAGAGGGCGCUUUGGCUUUGGCAGCGGUCCAAGUUCCUUGGAACAGGACGUCACAGAGGGUGAGAAUCCCGUACGUGGUCGCUAGCUAUUGCCGUGUAAAGCCCCUUCGACGAGUCGAGUUGUUUGGGAAUGCAGCUCUAAAUGGGAGGUAAAUUUCUUCUAAAGCUAAAUAUUGGCCAGAGACCGAUAGCGCACAAGUAGAGUGAUCGAAAGAUGAAAAGCACUUUGGAAAGAGAGUCAAACAGCACGUGAAAUUGUUGAAAGGGAAGCGCUUGCAGCCAGACUUGCUUGCAGUUGCUCAUCCGGGCUUUUGCCCGGUGCACUCUUCUGUAGGCAGGCCAGCAUCAGUUUGGGCGGUGGGAUAAAGGUCUCUGUCACGUACCUCUCUUCGGGGAGGCCUUAUAGGGGAGACGACAUACCACCAGCCUAGACUGAGGUCCGCGCAUCUGCUAGGAUGCUGGCGUAAUGGCUGUAAGCGGCCCGUCUUGAAACACGGACCAAGGAGUCUAACAUCUAUGCGAGUGUUUGGGUGUCAAGCCCGAGCGCGUAAUGAAAGUGAACGGAGGUGGGAACCCGCAAGGGUGCACCAUCGACCGAUCCUGAAGUUUACCGGAAGGAUUUGAGUAAGAGCAUGGCUGUUGGGACCCGAAAGAUGGUGAACUAUGCUUGAAUAGGGUGAAGCCAGAGGAAACUCUGGUGGAGGCUCGCAGCGGUUCUGACGUGCAAAUCGAUCGUCAAAUUUGGGCAUAGGGGCGAAAGACUAAUCGAACUAUCUAGUAGCUGGUUCCUGCCGAAGUUUCCCUCAGGAUAGCAGUAACGUAUUCAGUUUUAUGAGGUAAAGCGAAUGAUUAGAGGCAUGGGGGUUGAAACAACCUUCACCUAUUCUCAAACUUUAAAUAUGUAAGAAGCCCUUUGUUACUUAAUUGAACGCGGGCAUUUGAAUGAAACGUUAUUAGUGGGCCAUUUUUGGUAAGCAGAACUGGCGAUGCGGGAUGAACCGAACGAGGGGUUACGGUGCCGGAGUACACGCUCAUCAGACACCACAAAAGGUGUUGGUUCAUCUAGACAGCAGGACGGUGGCCAUGGAAGUCGGAAUCCGCUAAGGAGUGUGUAACAACUCACCUGCCGAAUGAACUAGCCCUGAAAAUGGAUGGCGCUCAAGCGUGUCACCUAUACCCCUCCGCCGGGGCAAAAUUUACGCCCCGGCGAGUAGGCAGGCGUGGAGGCUCGUGACGAAGCCUUGGGGGUGACCCCAGGUCGAACGGCCUCUAGUGCA